UCAUCUCUUAUAUGCAAUUGAAGUGUUCACUGUUUUGAAGCUCUGGGGCUUCAAAAUUAGGAAAGUCACCCAGGCAAGAUUAGGCUGUAAGGGGUGCAAUAUGCAUAGCUUACCUGUCAGCAAUACAGCACUUAUACCGUUUUUUUCUAUUUUCUUGGAAGCCAAAAAUCAGUCGAUGUGGUGUCCCGAUACAUUUGCUCCGGAACUUCUGAUGCUCACCCAGUGGCUCACCAUCUCUUCAGAUAUCACACAGUCUUUGGCAGUUGUGUCUUGGUUUUGGAGUAAAUAUUUUCUUUGAGUCCAGGAAAAUCUGCAUAAUCAAGAUCAGGAUAAUUUGUUUGGAUGCCUGGCAGAACAGCCUGAUUUCAAGUCUCUUGCCCAUUUUGGAGAAGGCUUCUGGAAAGAUUAGAAAAAUACAAUCUUCCUCAGACAUAUCUUGGUAUGGAUUGCCUAGUUAUCUGGAAAUAUACCUAGCAUUUGAACCCUCAAGUACUUGGUACUUUUUAUUUUCAUUGAAGCUUUUAUUACAACAGACAUUCGAGUUUUUAAAAGAAUUAACUUUAAUUGGAAUUUAUUGGCUAUUCUUCCCCUAUAAAAACACAUUUUAAUUUAAAAGAACAUGUUUCUUACAGCUAGGUUUCAGCUCAACUGCUUUUACUUAGUAAAACCCUGUGAAAUGCCAUUGUGGAUCUCACUCACAGAGAAGUUAUUCAUGUAAGUAACGGCUGUAGAUCAAAGUCCAUAAUCUUAAAUAAAAGGUUAAUUUUUGCAACAA